rnacentral:lncRNA from 1 species
UACAUCAAAAGAUUGAAGUUCUAAAUACAUUCAACCCUAAUUGAGCGACUAGUGCGAGUACAAUUACAAAAUUCAAAAACUAGACUACGCUAGUCUGCACCAGUCCCACGCCUCGCUCGUAUCCUCUGUAAGGAAAACAAAUGACGUGGAAUGAGUUAAAAGUCCAGUGAGGUUCCAAAUAGCAAAUCGACCAUUGUUUAUAAGUACAAGUUUCAAUGUAGCAAAGUAAUGAGCAUGAAAAGUUCAUAAAAGUGAGCAAUAACACUUCAAGUAGCAAAUCUCAAAAAGAGUGAGUGUAAAGUUUUUCUUUUAAAACGAAACAAUAACACGAUAAGUACUAAUCAUUCCAAAGUAUAAGGAUACAGAUGGCUUUCUGGAGCCAAAUUCCCAUUGCAUCAUCAGAGCUUGAUCAAGUAAUAGUUGACACUCCGUCAACUUUCAAGUAAGCAACCAAUCCAGUAGAGCACCACUUGAACUACUCUCCGUCCACCAUCCAAACCCCCUACUGGGUCCAAAAUCCUCAACAAACACUGGUGGUAAUACUCAAGUAUACCGAUUAAUCGAGGAGAUAUCACUCCACUCGACAAAACAAAAGACCCAGGGUUUGUUACCCAAUCGACCAAGCCCUUGCCAUCUCGACUCGAGUAACUCGCCACAGGGUUUCUGGAAUUCCAGGAAGUGCGCACCUUAUACACAAAUAUAUCAAAUCCAUUGCAACAAUAAACAAGUAUAUAUCA